UACGUAGGGGGCAAGCGUUGUCCGGAAUCAUUGGGCGUAAAGAGCGUGUAGGCGGCUUGGUAAGUCCGCUGUGAAAGUCCAGGGCUCAACCCUGGAAUGCCGGUGGAAACUGUCAAGCUUGAGUCCGGAAGAGGCGAGUGGAAUUCCUGGUGUAGCGGUGAAAUGCGCAGAUAUCAGGAGGAACACCAAUGGCGAGGGCAGCUCGCUGGGACGGUACUGACGCUGAGGCGCGACAGCGUGGGGAGCAAACAGG
rnacentral:rRNA from 1 species